ACUCUUCGGGCGCACACUUCGGUCUCCUCCGUCCGCCCCCCCUCCCCCGCUUUGCUUUUUCCUCUGUCUUUUUAAUUCUCAAUCUGCUUAACCAGGCUUUAGAGGCCAAGCAAAUCUGAGAUCAAUUUUCUCGUUUAGCUCUAAAUGACAUCAUCUAAAAUCAUUGUGCAAGGGCUAAAUAAGGAAACAGACUCUAAUUCAGGGGCAAACGCCAGGCUAUAUUUAUCAAACGCCAGGCUCUAGAAAGCCACGGCCAGGAAGCCUCCGGCAGCGAAAUCCUAGCCUUCCCCGCUUGGUUUCUCCGGGCCGGUGCUGGACCUGGGUGGGAGCCGCGCUUCCUCCUCCGCAGUCUCUCUCUUCCUCUGGGGCCCGGGACCGAGGGCUCCCGGAAUCCCGAAGUCUCCGCGGCCCGAACCGACUCUGGACCCUUUGGAAGACGCCAGCAGGUAACUGGCCUCCCUAAAUGCCUCUGAGAAUUAAAGGCCUACCGGAGGCUUGUUUUAUGUUUGUGGUUUUGUAAGUGCGAUGCCACGACAAAAGCUUGGGAGAGACACACUCCAUCCACAAAGUUAAGGAGGAGUUGCAGGGAAUACGCGAGAGUCACACCAAAAGAAACUUCGGCUAGGACCGAGUCCACCCCCACCCCCCUCACACACAAAUAUACGCGCGCGCCCUCCCGGAACGAGUCUUUCUUUAAGUACCUACGCUCAACUAGAGCUCUCUCGGAGCAUUUAAAAUAACUGUUGGGCAGAGAAGGGGAGCAAUGUUAUUGAUUCCUCCUCCAAUCUUCUGAUUGCUGGUGUCCGUACGCCUCCCCAAAGAAGCACGGGCGACAACCAGGGUGAGUGUGCAGGGGGGCAAAUGGGGGCGAUGAGCACAGCGACCUGCCUGCGCUCCGGGAGUGGCCUUAGCCGCGCUUCCGCCUCGGAGAGAACGCUUGGAGACUAUGUCCUGCAACGCCCCACUUCCAAGCAUCCUCUGGGUGUGGCGUCUGGGCCAAAACUCCCCGGGAGUUGUUGCAGAGCGUAAGGAGUGUUCCCGGAAGACUCCAGGGCCAGCGACUCCGGCAGCGCGGGUUUUCACCGCUCAGGCGGGCCGCGGCCAGGAGCGUUCCGGGAGCAGCGGUGCGCACGAUCCUGGUCCCUCCCCUUGGCCAGCCUGCGAUCUUGCAGAGCUUAGCCUUGCGACCAGAUGUGCUAGUGCCAGGCGUUUACUAGCCGCUGCACCGGGAGGAUGUGGGAGCCGGGAGCCCGCGCCGAGAGGCAGAGGAACAGCGCAGAGAUGCCAGCUCCCGGGUCUCGCGGCCUGCAAGCCCUUGUGAGUGGCCACCCGCAGCAGCCCAGGGUGCCAUCUACCUGGCCUGUGAGGUGUUUUCCCUCCAGACUACCAGGCUGCAAUUCAGGGUUGGACUUGAUGGAAAAUGAAGUUUAUAAACAAGCAACCCAAUUUCUCCAACAUAUUCGAGGAGCUGCCUAGAAGUUAAGCAACAACAACAACAAAAAAAAACAGCAAAGUUUUGCUGGUAAUUUACAGCGAUGUUACCGAAACCCGGCAAGUGAACAAUGAGAAGAAGGAUACCUCAAGUAGGCUCUCUUGUCCUACACUGGUAGUACGGUUAUGCAAUUUGCCGCUUGGCGUUUUGCCGAGUCGGCAUAUUUUUUUGAAGGUGCUUUUUUGGUCAAAAUAAAAACUGUAUUUAACACA